AAAAUAUGCUUAUCAAUUUUAAAAAAUCAUGUCACUUUUAUUUACCUAACAACAAUGAAAGAACAAAAACAGAAAGAGAAAUUUGGCAGAGGUGUAUGAAAAUUCUGAAUUAAAAGCGUUGGAAAACGAAAGUAACAGUUUGGAAAAGGUAGAGAGCGAAAGCCAAAAUUUGGAAAUAGUGGUGAACGAAAGUAAAAAUUUAAAAAAAGGAAGUUAGAAGAAAAAAAACAAGUUGCUAUUCGUGCUAUGGUAAAUUUUGUAAACGUUGUACCCUUAUGGAACCGUUUAUAACCUUUUACGAAACAGAACAAAAUAUAACAUUGGAACUUAUAAUAUAUACAUUGGCUGGUUGUACAUUGCAAUUAAAUUUUAAUAUAAUAAAAAAUUUAAUUGAUAAAAAAAUACCAUAUAAAGCAAAAACAUAU